rnacentral:rRNA from 1 species
UUAAGUUAUUAAGGGCGCACGGUGGAUGCCUUGGCACUAGAAGCCGAUGAAGGACGUUACUAACGACGAUAUGCUUUGGGGAGCUGUAAGUAAGCUUUGAUCCAGAGAUUUCCGAAUGGGGAAACCCAGCAUGAGUUAUGUCAUGUUAUCGAUAUGUGAAUACAUAGCAUAUCAGAAGGCACACCCGGAGAACUGAAACAUCUUAGUACCCGGAGGAAGAGAAAGAAAAUUCGAUUCCCUUAGUAGCGGCGAGCGAAACGGGAAGAGCCCAAACCAACAAGCUUGCUUGUUGGGGUUGUAGGACACUCUAUACGGAGUUACAAAGGACGACAUUAGACGAAUCAUCUGGAAAGAUGAAUCAAAGAAGGUAAUAAUCCUGUAGUCGAAAAUGUUGUCUCUCUUGAGUGGAUCCUGAGUACGACGGAGCACGUGAAAUUCCGUCGGAAUCUGGGAGGACCAUCUCCUAAGGCUAAAUACUCUCUAGUGACCGAUAGUGAACCAGUACCGUGAGGGAAAGGUGAAAAGCACCCCGGAAGGGGAGUGAAAUAGAACCUGAAACCGUGUGCUUACAAGUAGUCAGAGCCCGUUAAUGGGUGAUGGCGUGCCUUUUGUAGAAUGAACCGGCGAGUUACGAUUUGAUGCAAGGUUAAGCAGUAAAUGUGGAGCCGUAGCGAAAGCGAGUCUGAAUAGGGCGUUUAGUAUUUGGUCGUAGACCCGAAACCAGGUGAUCUACCCUUGGUCAGGUUGAAGUUCAGGUAACACUGAAUGGAGGACCGAACCGACUUACGUUGAAAAGUGAGCGGAUGAACUGAGGGUAGCGGAGAAAUUCCAAUCGAACCUGGAGAUAGCUGGUUCUCUCCGAAAUAGCUUUAGGGCUAGCCUCAAGUGAUGAUUAUUGGAGGUAGAGCACUGUUUGGACGAGGGGCCCCUCUCGGGUUACCGAAUUCAGACAAACUCCGAAUGCCAAUUAAUUUAACUUGGGAGUCAGAACAUGGGUGAUAAGGUCCGUGUUCGAAAGGGAAACAGCCCAGACCACCAGCUAAGGUCCCAAAAUAUAUGUUAAGUGGAAAAGGAUGUGGCGUUGCCCAGACAACUAGGAUGUUGGCUUAGAAGCAGCCAUCAUUUAAAGAGUGCGUAAUAGCUCACUAGUCGAGUGACACUGCGCCGAAAAUGUACCGGGGCUAAACAUAUUACCGAAGCUGUGGAUUGUCCUUUGGACAAUGGUAGGAGAGCGUUCUAAGGGCGUUGAAGCAUGAUCGUAAGGACAUGUGGAGCGCUUAGAAGUGAGAAUGCCGGUGUGAGUAGCGAAAGACGGGUGAGAAUCCCGUCCACCGAUUGACUAAGGUUUCCAGAGGAAGGCUCGUCCGCUCUGGGUUAGUCGGGUCCUAAGCUGAGGCCGACAGGCGUAGGCGAUGGAUAACAGGUUGAUAUUCCUGUACCACCUAUAAUCGUUUUAAUUGAUGGGGGGACGCAGUAGGAUAGGCGAAGCGUGCGAUUGGAUUGCACGUCUAAGCAGUAAGGCUGAGUAUUAGGCAAAUCCGGUACUCGUUAAGGCUGAGCUGUGAUGGGGAGAAGACAUUGUGUCUUCGAGUCGUUGAUUUCACACUGCCGAGAAAAGCCUCUAGAUAGAAAAUAGGUGCCCGUACCGCAAACCGACACAGGUAGUCAAGAUGAGAAUUCUAAGGUGAGCGAGCGAACUCUCGUUAAGGAACUCGGCAAAAUGACCCCGUAACUUCGGGAGAAGGGGUGCUCUUUAGGGUUAACGCCCAGAAGAGCCGCAGUGAAUAGGCCCAAGCGACUGUUUAUCAAAAACACAGGUCUCUGCUAAACCGUAAGGUGAUGUAUAGGGGCUGACGCCUGCCCGGUGCUGGAAGGUUAAGAGGAGUGGUUAGCUUCUGCGAAGCUACGAAUCGAAGCCCCAGUAAACGGCGGCCGUAACUAUAACGGUCCUAAGGUAGCGAAAUUCCUUGUCGGGUAAGUUCCGACCCGCACGAAAGGCGUAACGAUUUGGGCACUGUCUCAACGAGAGACUCGGUGAAAUCAUAGUACCUGUGAAGAUGCAGGUUACCCGCGACAGGACGGAAAGACCCCGUGGAGCUUUACUGUAGCCUGAUAUUGAAAUUCGGCACAGCUUGUACAGGAUAGGUAGGAGCCUUUGAAACGUGAGCGCUAGCUUACGUGGAGGCGCUGGUGGGAUACUACCCUAGCUGUGUUGGCUUUCUAACCCGCACCACUUAUCGUGGUGGGAGACAGUGUCAGGCGGGCAGUUUGACUGGGGCGGUCGCCUCCUAAAAGGUAACGGAGGCGCUCAAAGGUUCCCUCAGAAUGGUUGGAAAUCAUUCAUAGAGUGUAAAGGCAUAAGGGAGCUUGACUGCGAGACCUACAAGUCGAGCAGGGUCGAAAGACGGACUUAGUGAUCCGGUGGUUCCGCAUGGAAGGGCCAUCGCUCAACGGAUAAAAGCUACCCCGGGGAUAACAGGCUUAUCUCCCCCAAGAGUUCACAUCGACGGGGAGGUUUGGCACCUCGAUGUCGGCUCAUCGCAUCCUGGGGCUGUAGUCGGUCCCAAGGGUUGGGCUGUUCGCCCAUUAAAGCGGUACGCGAGCUGGGUUCAGAACGUCGUGAGACAGUUCGGUCCCUAUCCGUCGUGGGCGUAGGAAAUUUGAGAGGAGCUGUCCUUAGUACGAGAGGACCGGGAUGGACAUACCUCUGGUGUACCAGUUGUCGUGCCAACGGCAUAGCUGGGUAGCUAUGUGUGGACGGGAUAAGUGCUGAAAGCAUCUAAGCAUGAAGCCCCCCUCAAGAUGAGAUUUCCCAACUUCGGUUAUAAGAUCCCUCAAAGAUGAUGAGGUUAAUAGGUUCGAGGUGGAAGCAUGGUGACAUGUGGAGCUGACGAAUACUAAUCGAUCGAAGACUUAAUCAA